rnacentral:rRNA from 1 species
AACGAACGCUGGCGGCAUGCUUUACACAUGCAAGUCGAACGGUAACAGGCCGCAAGGUGCUGACGAGUGGCGAACGGGUGAGUAAUACAUCGGAACGUGCCCAGUCGUGGGGGAUAACGCAGCGAAAGCUGUGCUAAUACCGCAUACGAUCUAUGGAUGAAAGCGGGGGACCGUAAGGCCUCGCGCGAUUGGAGCGGCCGAUGUCAGAUUAGGUAGUUGGUGGGGUAAGGCUCACCAAGCCAACGAUCUGUAGCUGGUCUGAGAGGACGACCAGCCACACUGGGACUGAGACACGGCCCAGACUCCUACGGGAGGCAGCAGUGGGGAAUUUUGGACAAUGGGCGCAAGCCUGAUCCAGCAAUGCCGCGUGCAGGAAGAAGGCCUUCGGGUUGUAAACUGCUUUUGUACGGAACGAAAAGGUUUGGGUUAAUACCCUGGGCCGAUGACGGUACCGUAAGAAUAAGCACCGGCUAACUACGUGCCAGCCGCCGCAGUAA